AAAUAAAACAUGACAAUGUUACAUAGAUGCACAUUCACACUCCAAAUAUCUGACUUGUUACCUUAAUAUCAAUUUGUUCCUUUUAGAAAUGCAAGGCAAGCUCAGGUCACCUCAGUGCCACUUUCUCCAUCACGUAUGUGACAAGACAUCUGGGAUGGAACAGUGUGAUGCAAUGGGUGAACAUACCACCAGGAAUACUGCUAAUGAAUUCUUGGGAAGUUCCCAUGUUUCACCAGAACAACCAGUUUUAGCAAGUGACCAAGUUCCACUCUCAGGAAUUAUCCUGUAGACAAUACAGAAAUAAGUUAUAAACAAAAUGUUGCCUUCUAUGCAGGCGUAGUUGGUUGAGGCACUGUGCUACAAACUGGAAGUUCA